CUAAUGCUUAGUCGCCAUCUUCCAGGCUGCUAUUUAAGCUGAUGUAUGUUAGCACAGGGCUCUGUCCCAUGAUAUAGUCUUUUUCCACAGUGUUGGAGAUGAAGCAGGGCCUUGAGUCUAUGCCUGUAUGUAUCUACAAUGACUGAGGUGACAGUGCAGGGAACAACU
rnacentral:snoRNA from 1 species